UUUAUAAAGUUAUCACCAAGAAAUUCAAUAUUAACUUAUGCUAUUUUAGGACCAAUUCAGAUUCUGCCCUUCAUCAGAGUGCUAUGAACCCCCAAGACAACUAUCAUGGUGCCAAUACACCUCCUAAUAACAGGACAUUUGAAGUUGAUAGAGUACUAUUGCACGAAAAUGAUCAAGUUAACAGUUAUUGGGAC